UAUUAAUUUGUUUCAAUCUUUCCUGUUAUGAUUAAAGCAAAUUAGUCCCCCAACUAGACUUCUUGCUGAGAUUGACUCCGAGGGGUCUAGUUUUUUU
rfam:Lactococcus lactis subsp. lactis Il1403, complete genome.